rnacentral:rRNA from 1 species
GCACGGAGUUAGCCGGUGCUUCUUCCUGUGGUUAAGUCAGUGUUCUUCCCACAUGAAAGGGGUUUACAACCCGAAGGCCUUCAUCCCCCACGCGGCGUCGCUGCGUCAGGCUUUCGCCCAUUGCGCAAUAUUCCCUACUGCUGCCAUCCGUAGAUGUCGGGGCCGUGUCUCAGUCCCCGUGUGGCCGGUCGACCUCUCAGUCCGGCUACCCGUCAUAGCCUUGGUGGGCCGUUACCCCGCCAACUAGCUGAUAGGCCAUGAAGCGCUCCUUCCGCGUCUUGCGACUUUCAUCCCCCCCCUAUGCAGGAGGGGGACCGUAUCCGGUAUUAGCUCCGCUUUCGCGGGGUUAUCCCGAACGGAGGGGUACGUUCUUCAUGUCAUACGCACCCUUUCGCCGCUGUACUCCGGGUAUUGCUACCCGUUUCUCGCUCGACUUGCAUGUAUUAGGCACGCCGCCAACGUUCGUU